ACUCGGGUGAAGGAACUAGGCAAAAUGGUGCCGUAACUUCGGGAGAAGGCACGCUGAUAUGUAGGUGAAGCGACUUGCUCGUGGAGCUGAAAUCAGUCGAAGAUACCAGCUGGCUGCAACUGUUUAUUAAAAACACAGCACUGUGCAAACACGAAAGUGGACGUAUACGGUGUGACGCCUGCCCGGUGCCGGAAGGUUAAUUGAUGGGGUCAGCGCAAGCGAAGCUCUUGAUCGAAGCCCCGGUAAACGGCGGCCGUAACUAUAACGGUCCUAAGGUAGCGAAAUUCCUUGUCGGGUAAGUUCCGACCUGCACGAAUGGCGUAAUGAUGGCCAGGCUGUCUCCACCCGAGACUCAGUGAAAUUGAACUCGCUGUGAAGAUGCAGUGUACCCGCGGCAAGACGGAAAGACCCCGUGAACCUUUACUAUAGCUUGACACUGAACAUUGAGCCUUGAUGUGUAGGAUAGGUGGGAGGCUUAGAAGUGUGGACGCCAGUCUGCAUGGAGCCGACCUUGAAAUACCACCCUUUAAUGUUUGAUGUUCUAACGUUGACCCGUAAUCCGGGUUGCGGACAGUGUCUGGUGGGUAGUUUGACUGGGGCGGUCUCCUCCUAAAGAGUAACGGAGGAGCACGAAGGUUGGCUAAUCCUGGUCGGACAUCAGGAGGUUAGUGCAAUGGCAUAAGCCAGCUUGACUGCGAGCGUGACGGCGCGAGCAGGUGCGAAAGCAGGUCAUAGUGAUCCGGUGGUUCUGAAUGGAAGGGCCAUCGCUCAACGGAUAAAAGGUACUCCGGGGAUAACAGGCUGAUACCGCCCAAGAGUUCAUAUCGACGGCGGUGUUUGGCACCUCGAUGUCGGCUCAUCACAUCCUGGGGCUGAAGUAGGUCCCAAGGGUAUGGCUGUUCGCCAUUUAAAGUGGUACGCGAGCUGGGUUUAGAACGUCGUGAGACAGUUCGGUCCCUAUCUGCCGUGGGCGCUGGAGAACUGAGGGGGGCUGCUCCUAGUACGAGAGGACCGGAGUGGACGCAUCACUGGUGUUCGGGUUGUCAUGCCAAUGGCACUGCCCGGUAGCUAAAUGCGGAAGAGAUAAGUGCUGAAAGCAUCUAAGCACGAAACUUGCCCCGAGAUGAGUUCUCCCUGACCCUUUAAGGGUCCUGAAGGAACGUUGAAGACGACGACGUUGAUAGGCCGGGUGUGUAAGCGCAGCGAUGCGUUGAGCUAACCGGUACUAAUGAACCGUGAGGCUUAACCUU
rnacentral:rRNA from 1 species